UACGGAGGGAGCUAGCGUUGUUCGGAAUUACUGGGCGUAAAGCGCACGUAGGCGGCUUUUUAAGUCAGGGGUGAAAUCCCGGGGGCUCAACCCCGGAACUGCCCUUGAAACUGGAAGGCUAGAAUCUUGGAGAGGCGAGUGGAAUUCCGAGUGUAGAGGUGAAAUUCGUAGAUAUUCGGAAGAACACCAGUGGCGAAGGCGACUCGCUGGACAAGUA
rnacentral:rRNA from 1 species